UGGGGAAUAUUGGACAAUGGGCGAAAGCCUGAUCCAGCCAUGCCGCGUGAGUGACGAAGGCCUUAGGGUUGUAAAACUCUAUCGUCGGGGACGAUAAUGACGGUACCCGAAGAAGAAGCUCCGGCUAACUUCGUGCCAGCAGCCGCGGUAAUACGAAGGGAGCUAGCGUUGUUCGGAAUCACUGGGCGUAAAGCGCACGUAGGCGGAUAGUUAAGUCAGGGGUGAAAUCCUGGGGCUCAACCCCAGAACUGCCUUUGAUACUGGCUGUCUCGAGGUCGAGAGAGGUUGGUGGAAUUCCUAGUGUAGAGGUGAAAUUCGUAGAUAUUAGGAAGAACACCAGUGGCGAAGGCGGCCAACUGGCUCGAUACUGACGCUGAGGUGCGAAAGCGUGGGAGCAAACAGGAUUAGAUACCCGCGUAGUCCCUGAGCGGGCUGGCAAGGCGCAU
rnacentral:rRNA from 1 species